rnacentral:rRNA from 1 species
GACGGGGGGGGCAAGUGUUCUUCGGAAUGACUGGGCGUAAAGGGCACGUAGGCGGUGAAUCGGGUUGAAAGUGAAAGUCGCCAAAAAGUGGCGGAAUGCUCUCGAAACCAAUUCACUUGAGUGAGACAGAGGAGAGUGGAAUUUCGUGUGUAGGGGUGAAAUCCGUAAAUAUACGAAGGAACGCCAAAAGCGAAGGCAGCUCUCUGGG